GAUUCGGGGACGAAAUGUCCUCGACCUAUUCUCAAACUUUAAAUAGGUAAGAGGGUGCGGCUGCUCCAUUGAGCCGCGCCGUGGAAUCGAGAGCUCCAAGUGGGCCAUUUUUGGUAAGCAGAACUGGCGAUGCGGGAUGAACCGAAAGUCGAGUUACGGUGCCGAAUUGCGCGCUAACCUAGAUCCCACAAAGGGUGUUGGUUGAUUAAGACAGCAGGACGGUGGUCAUGGAAG
rnacentral:rRNA from 1 species